GUCGAAAUUGUUUGAAGCUACUGGCUCAAAAAACGCACACUUCACUUUCAAGAAGGCGGUGUACUACCUCAUUUGUAUGCUUUGACAUUGCUCUCGAAAACACAUUAAAGGUCAGUUUUACCAUAACACUGUGCCAACCUGGCUGAAACUGAUAGGUCUCUGGUAAAGAAGGGGUUUCUGGGGAACAGGCUCUUCACAAAGAUAAGCAACCCCACCACUGGAACCAUCACUCUUUCACUGGAGGGAAAUUCUACAGGGAAAUGUCUUUUAUUGGAUGAACACAAGGUUCUCCUAUGCAGGUGUGUGAAGAGGGGUUUUUUAUGCCUGCAGGCGGACUGAGUCUUACAGUGUUGGUCAAUCAAACAAAGCUCUCUGGUGAAGGAUUCAAAUAUCAGAUGUCAAUUUGAGGACCCUAUCCAGUCUGGGCAUUUAUGACCGCAGGCUAUAGUCCAUCUCAAGAGGAAUUCUCUCUCAUUCAGCACAGACUUGAUGUUCACAGCUCUUUAAUUGGCCUGCUGUAGAUCAUGUGACCUCAGCUUCACCUGUUGUUUGCAUCCUGUGGUUUUAAAAUCUUGUACCCUAUACUGAUGGCCUGUUUGUGUCACAAUAAAG
ensembl:lncRNA